CAGAUUAUAGUUUAUACAAAACAUUAGCUUUGGGAGCUAAAAUUCGGCUCUUUCCGUAAUCUGA
rnacentral:tRNA from 1 species